GGUUAAGUUAGAAAGGGCGCACGGUGGAUGCCUUGGCACUAGGAGCCGAAGAAGGACGGGACUAACACCGAUAUGCUUUGGGGAGCUGUACGUAAGCGUUGAUCCAGAGAUUUCCGAAUGGGGGAACCCACUAUCUUUAGUCGGAUAGUAUCCUUACGUGAAUACAUAGCGUGAGGAAGGCAGACCCAGGGAACUGAAACAUCUAAGUACCUGGAGGAAGAGAAAGAAAAAUCGAUUUCCUGAGUAGCGGCGAGCGAAACGGAAAGAGCCCAAACCAAGAAGCUUGCUUCUUGGGGUUGUAGGACACUCUAUACGGAGUUACAAAAGAAAGUUAUAAAUGAAGCGGUCUGGAAAGGCCCGCCAAAGACGGUAACAGCCCGGUAGUUGAAAUAGCUUUCCCUCCAGAGUGGAUCCUGAGUACGGCGGAACACGUGAAAUUCCGUCGGAAUCCGGGAGGACCAUCUCCCAAGGCUAAAUACUCCCUAGUGACCGAUAGUGAACCAGUACCGUGAGGGAAAGGUGAAAAGCACCCCGGAAGGGGAGUGAAACAGUUCCUGAAACCGUGUGCCUACAAGUAGUUAGAGCCCGUUAAUGGGUGAUAGCGUGCCUUUUGUAGAAUGAACCGGCGAGUUACGAUUUGUUGCAAGGUUAAGCGGAAAAAGCGGAGCCGUAGCGAAAGCGAGUCUGAAUAGGGCGCAUAAGUAACAGGUCGUAGACCCGAAACCAGGUGAUCUACCCAUGUCCAGGAUGAAGGUAAGGUAAUACUUACUGGAGGUCCGAACCCACGCACGUUGAAAAGUGCGGGGAUGAGGUGUGGGUAGCGGAGAAAUUCCAAUCGAACUUGGAGAUAGCUGGUUCUCUCCGAAAUAGCUUUAGGGCUAGCCUCGAGGUAAAGAGUCAUGGAGGUAGAGCACUGUUUGGACUAGGGGCCCUUCUCGGGUUACCGAAUUCAGAUAAACUCCGAAUGCCAUGUACUUAUACUCGGGAGUCAGACUGCGAGUGAUAAGAUCCGUAGUCGAAAGGGAAACAGCCCAGACCACCAGUUAAGGUCCCCAAAUAUAUGUUAAGUGGAAAAGGAUGUGGGGUUGCUUAGACAACCAGGAUGUUGGCUUAGAAGCAGCCACCAUUGAAAGAGUGCGUAAUAGCUCACUGGUCGAGUGACCCCGCGCCGAAAAUGUACCGGGGCUAAACAUAUUACCGAAACUGUGGAUGAACCUCUUUAGAGGUUCGUGGUAGGAGAGCGUUCUAAGGGCGGUGAAGUCAGACCGGAAGGACUGGUGGAGCGCUUAGAAGUGAGAAUGCCGGUAUGAGUAGCGAAAGAAGGGUGAGAAUCCCUUCCACCGAAUAUCUAAGGUUUCCUGAGGAAGGCUCGUCCGCUCAGGGUUAGUCGGGACCUAAGCCGAGGCCGAUAGGCGUAGGCGAUGGACAACAGGUAGAGAUUCCUGUACCAGUGCUAAUUGUUUAACCGAUGGGGUGACACAGAAGGAUAGGGAAUCGCACGAAUGGAAAUGUGCGUCCAAGCAGUGAGUGUGAGAAGUAGGCAAAUCCGCUUCUCGCGAAGCAUGAGCUGUGAUGGGGAAGGAAAUUAAGUACGGAAGUUCCUGAUUUCACGCUGUCAAGAAAAGCCUCUAGGAAGAGUAGUACUGCCCGUACCGCAAACCGACACAGGUAGAUGAGGAGAGAAUCCUAAGGUGAGCGAGAGAACUCUCGUUAAGGAACUCGGCAAAAUGACCCCGUAACUUCGGGAGAAGGGGUGCUCUAUUAGGGUGCAAGCCCGAGAGAGCCGCAGUGAAUAGGCCCAGGCGACUGUUUAGCAAAAACACAGGUCUCUGCAAAACCGUAAGGUGACGUAUAGGGGCUGACGCCUGCCCGGUGCUGGAAGGUUAAGAGGAGUGCUUAGCUUCGGCGAAGGUACGAAUUGAAGCCCCAGUAAACGGCGGCCGUAACUAUAACGGUCCUAAGGUAGCGAAAUUCCUUGUCGGGUAAGUUCCGACCCGCACGAAAGGCGCAACGAUCUGGGCACUGUCUCAACGAGAGACUCGGUGAAAUUAUAGUACCUGUGAAGAUGCAGGUUACCCGCGACAGGACGGAAAGACCCCGUGGAGCUUUACUGCAACCUGAUAUGGAAUGUUUGUACCGCUUGUACAGGAUAGGUAGGAGCCGAAGAGACGUGUGCGCUAGCAUACGAGGAGGCAAUGGUGGGAUACUACCCUGGCUGUAUGACCAUUCUAACCCGCCACGCUUAGCGCGUGGGGAGACAGUGUCAGGUGGGCAGUUUGACUGGGGCGGUCGCCUCCUAAAGAGUAACGGAGGCGCCCAAAGGUUCCCUCAGAAUGGAUGGAAAUCAUUCGCAGAGUGUAAAGGCACAAGGGAGCUUGACUGCGAGACUGACAAGUCGAGCAGGGACGAAAGUCGGGCUUAGUGAUCCGGUGGUU
rnacentral:rRNA from 1 species